GGCCUGAUAGCACAGCUGGAAGUGCGUCUGCUUUAACUAUCCAUGCUAAAUGUGCAAAUGGCAGAAGACCCUGUUCGAUUCGGGGUCGGGUCA